rnacentral:rRNA from 1 species
AGCUCCAAUAGCGUAUAUUAAAGUUGUUGCGGUUAAAAAGCUCGUAGUUGGAUUUCUGUACGAGAGCACCGGUCCGCAUUUUGUGCGUGUAUCUGGUAGAACUUGUGCAUCCUCUUAUUUUCAAAUCUGCGCUUCAUUGCGUGGUUUUGUGGAUAAGACUUUUACUUUGAGGAAAUUAGAGUGUUCACGGCAGGCAAGCGCCCUGAAUAUGUUAGCAUGGAAUAAUAAUAUAAGACUUCGGUUUUAUUUUGUUGGUUUCUAAAGCUGAAGUAAUGAUUAAUAGGAACAGUUGGGGACACUUGUAUUAACUCGCUAGAGGUGGAAUUCUUGGAUUGAGUUACGACAAACUACUGCGAAAGCAUUUGUCAAGGAUGUUUUCA